rnacentral:rRNA from 1 species
GACGAACGCUGGCGGCGUGCUUAACACAUGCAAGUCGAACAGUGGCGAACGGGUGAGUAACACGUGAGUAACCUUCCCUCCACUUUGGGAUAACUCCGAGAAAUCGGGGCUAAUACUGGAUAGUGGGGGAUGGGCGCGGGGCCUAUCAGUUUGUUGGUGGGGUAGUGGUCACCAAGGCGUGACGGGUAGCCGGCCUGAGAGGGCGAACGGCCAGACGGGGACUAAGGCACGGACCAGACUCCUACGGUGGGCAGCAGUGGGGAAUAUUGCACAACGGGCGAAAGCCUGAUGCAGCGGCGCCGCGUGGGGGAGGACGGCCUUCGGGUUGUAAACCUCUUUCAGCAAGGAAGCGGUACUUGCAGAAGAAGCGCCGGCUAACUACGUGCCAGCAGCCGCGGUAAUAC